rnacentral:rRNA from 1 species
AUGUCAGACACUGGAUGUGCUGCUCGGCUGUUGUACUUAACAAUUCCGUUUCUCCUUGUGCAGGUGAAUCUCAGGUUGGGUCUCAAGCUGCCUGCCACUGCUGAUGUUGAUACGGCAUCAGGGCAUGUUUUGAUGAAUUAUGCCAACGACUGCGCCCAUGGUUGCUCUCUGCAGGGCACUGCGGUCUUCAUGGGACCUUGGAUGGUCUGGCGUGACAUGUACCAUGAAGUAUGCGGUGCCCUACCACGAGCCAAACUAAUGGGAAAAAAUGGGCCAGGACGGCGAAGCUUUGGAUCUACACGGCCAGCAUCUUUACCUUGUCGUCGUUGCUGA